rnacentral:rRNA from 1 species
AUUAUGGGAUAUGGGGUGAGAGCCUGAUCCAGCCAUCCCGCGUGCAGGAUGAAUGCCUUAUGUGUUGUAAACUGCGUUUAUACAGGAAUAAUCAACUUGCCGUGUAAGGUGUUGAAGGUACUGUAUGACUAAGCAGCGGCUAACUCCGUGCCAGCAGCCGCGGUAUUUCGGAGGAUGCAAGCGUUCUCCGGAUUUAUUGGGUUUAAAGUGUCCGGAGGCGGGCAUAUAAGUCAGAGGUGAAAUCCGACAGCUUAACUGUCGAACUGCCUUUGAAACUGUAUGUCUUGAGUGAGAUUGAAGCAGCUGGAAGGUGUAGUGUAGCAGUGAAAUGCAUAGAUAUUACACAGAACACCGAUAGCGUAGGCAGGUUGCUAAGUCUUUACUGACGCUGAUGGACGAAAGCGUGGGGAGCAAAAA